GCAAGUCGAACGAGCGAGAGGGAGCUUGCUUUCUCGAGCGAGUGGCGAAAGGGUGAGUAACGCGUGAGGAACCUGCCUCAAAGAGGGGGACAACAGUUGGAAACGACUGCUAAUACCGAAUAAGCCCACGGGUCGGCAUCGACAAGAGGGAAAAGGAGCAAUCCGCUUUGAGAUGGCCUCGCGUCCGAUUAGCUAGUUGGUGAGGUAACGGCCCACCAAGGCAACGAUCGGUAGCCGGACUGAGAGGGUGAAC
rnacentral:rRNA from 1 species